rnacentral:rRNA from 1 species
AUGGGUACGGCACUGUCGCGACUAUGCCCGUGCUGUUUCAGCUCGCCGGCGACACCGGCUGCUACUACCACUGAGCGCAGCACCUCUACUACUUCGGACAAGACGCAACCCGAACGACCCACCAAGAGGCACUGGGUGGAUGAGAAGGGCAACAGCUGCUUCAUGCUGCUCCCUCGAGGUCUGUCCAUCGCCUGGGCGGAGAACCCCAGUUACUGGGCCUGGCUGCCCCCACCCCCGGGAGAAGGAAGCGCCGGCGACGCUGCGGGAGAGGAGGUGGCGGAGCUAAAGAACGUGUGGUCGCUGGAGGUCCACGGGAAGCUGGAGCUGUCGCAGCUCACGCCAGGGGCCACCUACGAGGUUGCCUUCGAGGUGAUGCUCAAGCAGGGGUGCGGCGGGUGGCAGGUGCCCGUCGACCUCCAGCUCGAGCUCCCCGGGGCGAGGGCCCAGGAGCGCAAGGAGAGCCUAGAGAAGAAGGCCAGGGGCCAGUGGCUGCCGCUCAAGGUAGGGGAUGUUGAGGUGGAGAAGGGGCAGCAGGGUGGGGAGCUUGUGGUCACCCUGUCUCAGGACGGUGGGCACUGGAAGAGUGGGCUGGUCGUCAGGGGCAUCAGGAUCGCCCCAAAAACGUGA